rnacentral:misc_RNA from 1 species
AAGUCGUAACAAGGUUUCCGUAGGUGAACCUGCGGAAGGAUCAUUAACACGUAUCCAACGUUAAACAACCCUUGAACUUUCAGACGCUCUCGUAGCCCAGGCGGAACAGCAAUCCCGGUAAAUCAAUUGGCGGGAAAGUUUUGAUUCGGGACCUCUGUCCAAAAGGUAUGCUAGAGGUCGAUCACCGGCCGGCAGACAUGUCACAGGCCUAUGUGCCCCCCCAUUCACACCUUGCCUAGCCCCGCGGAAACGUCUGGGGUACCAAAACGAACAACUGUUAAGAAUGGAUAUCUUGGUUCUC